rnacentral:rRNA from 1 species
CCCUUAGAUGUUCUGGGCCGCACGCGCACUACACUGAAGGGAUCAGCGUGUUUUCCCUUCCCGAGAGGGACGGGUAACCCGCUGAACCCCCUUCGUGGUAGGGAUCGGAGCUUGCAAUUGUUCUCCGUGAACCAGGAAUUCCCAGUAAGCGCAAGUCAUAAGCUUGCGUUGAUUACGUCCCUGCCCUUUGUACACACCGCCCGUCGCUACUACCGAUUGAACGUUUUAGUGAGGUAUUUGGACUGGGCCUUGGGAGGUUUCGGCCUCCCUUGUUGCUCGGAAAGACUCCCAAACUUGAGCGUUUAGAGGAAGUAAAAGUCGUAACA